AUGAACGCUGGCGGCGUGCCUAAUACAUGCACGUCGAGCGAACAGACGAGGAGCUUGCUCCUCUGACGUUAGCGGCGGACGGGUGAGUAACACGUGGAUAACCUACCUAUAAGACUGGGAUAACUUCGGGAAACCGGAGCUAAUACCGGAUAAUAUAUUUAACCGCAUGGUUCAAUAGUGAAAGACGGUUUUGCUGUCACUUAUAGAUGGAUCCGCGCCGCAUUAGCUAGUUGGUAAGGUAACGGCUUACCAAGGCAACGAUGCGUAGCCGACCUGAGAGGGUGAUCGGCCACACUGGAACUGAGACACGGUCCAGACUCCUACGGGAGGCAGCAGUAGGGAAUCUUCCGCAAUGGGCGAAAGCCUGACGGAGCAACGCCGCGUGAGUGAUGAAGGUCUUCGGAUCGUAAAACUCUGUUAUUAGGGAAGAACAAAUGUGUAAGUAACUAUGCACGUCUUGACGGUACCUAAUCAGAAAGCCACGGCUAACUACGUG
rnacentral:rRNA from 1 species